rnacentral:lncRNA from 1 species
CUCUGUCUUAGGGGACUCUGUCCAGGAGGUGAGCUGGGCCCUGCAGUCCCUCGUGGCUCUAAGAAAAGAAUAACGAGGAAUAAAUGCUUUGCUACCUCCCAGAACUGACAACUGCUUCGGGAAGAAGGAUCGCACAUCUGUUUUGCAGGAACAACUGAGCUCCUCUCAGCCAAGUAGGCAAACUGCAGAGCCUUCUCGCAUCUUCCUCCGUCUUCCUUCCCAAGGCAAAUGGAACCUUGGGCAUGCGGUGGUGGGCUGUGAGGACGGGCCCCUGUGGAUCUCGCCAGGUGGGUGGGAUAAGCCCAGCCACGUGGCAGACCCUGCUUCAGUGAAGUGGGACAGUGACAGCACCUGCCUCCUAGGCCCAUGAGCUUUUGCUCUGUAAGUACACACAGAGCCCCCAGAAUUGCCUGUGGCAUGCAGUGAGUGCCCAGCAAAUGCCAGCAUUCUCCUCCUGUUUUAAAAGGCCUCAGUGGCUCGUCAAGCAAGUAGCAGGCAAACAAAGUCAUGUAAGCAUCUAAGGAUAGGGACCCCAUUUCUCAGAUGAGUAAUAAAGCUUCAAAAGCAAUGAACCA